rnacentral:rRNA from 1 species
AGGGGGCAAGCGUUAUCCGGAUUUACUGGGAGUAACGGGAGCGUAGACGGAUGUGCAAGUCUGAAGUGAAAGCCUGGGGCUCAACCCCGGGACUGCUUUGGAAACUGUGUAUCUAGAGUGCCGGAGAGGUAAGCGGAAUUCCCAGUGUAGCUGUGAAAUGCGUAGAUAUUGGGAGGAACACCAGUGGCGAAGGCGGCUUACUGGACGGUAACUGACGUUGAGGCUCGAAAGCGUGGGGAGCAAG